GGGGCGGUAGCUCAGCUGGUCAGAGCAGGGGACUCAUAAUCCCUUUGUCCCGGGUUCGAGCCCCGGCCGCCCCA
rnacentral:tRNA from 1 species